AACUAAAUCAUUCUGUCAGCAGCCCUGCGAGGAUCCGAGCAGACUCACCGGGCGAGACAGCGCGCGCUUGGACAGACCCGCUGGCCACCACGGCAGGCAGAAAUUUGCAUGCUGUCCUGAUUCAUUAAGGCGCUAACACCACACGCCUCACUGCUGCAGCGCUCCCCCAGCCAAACAAAAUGGUGGCAGCGGGCGGCAAUCCUAGCAGCUAGCGCGCACUGCUCCCUCUCCGAAAGCAAUCAGAUACCACUCCCCCACCCCCAGCCUCCCACCACCCCGCCACGCGGGAGGGGAACAAGGAAACCAGCAACCACAUUUGGGGGUGACAGCAGAGAAAUGAGCGUGGAUUUCCCCUACACUGCUGCUGCGGCCACUGGCUGCCCCGUGCAUUGAUAUGGAAUGUCAUAGAAGACCUGUGAUGCCAUCCCCCUGCUUCCCCAAUGUAGGGGAGGAGAAGUGUGGGAAGAGAAUGCUCUGCGUGUGCCAACUGACAAUGCUCUCAGGGCCGAUACCCAUUGCCCCCAAAGACCAGAGGCACCCAAGAAGAGAGGGCUUUUAAAGAUGUGCCUGAUACACCAUGCAGCACCCCCUUUCCCCCGCACUGCACCAACUGGGAUGUGCGUGGAGCUCAGAGCAGGGUGAACUGAGAGGUGAUGUGUAAGUCACAGCAGGUUUUCACUCACACCUCCACCAUCUGCUACCCCCCAGCCCAGGCCCAGGUGAAGCCCAGCUGGCAGGGGACUUCCCCAAUGCAUCAGGGACACAGCCUGGAGUCUUUUUACACCCCCAAGAACAGCUUCAAGUGGCCAGACCGCUGCCCAUAGUGGGAGCCAGCAUGCACACCUGUCAAACGCCUCGUCUGCGUGAGCUAUGCGCCUGUGUCACCCCACAGACGCCACCUGGCCAAGGCAGGCAUAGGGCCUGAGCCUGGAUCCAGUGGCGUGAGAGCAGAAUCAGGCCCAGGGAGAGUAACCGACACCACCGCUCACAGGGACUUGGCUCACACUGGCUUUCAAGCUCCAGAUUGGCCCUUCCAGGCACAAUGGGCCCGAUUCUGCUCUCUUGUACACCAGUGUAAAUCAGGAGGAACUGCACUGAGAUUAGUGGAUUCAGACUAGAGUAAACAGAAAUCAGGUGAGGUGAGCAGAAAUAGGGCCUUCUCUCUCUCUCCUUCUCCCUCGCCCCACCACCCACACUUUCUACAGACCCCUGAGUCUCGCUCAGUUGCAGGGUGGGCACUGCAGCAAAUUCACCCACUCCCCAGUAUGGCCUUCCAUGGCACCUAAGGUGCUGGGGACCAAAUCCUCUGCUUGUGUAACCUGGCACACUUCCGUAAAGUCACAGAACUCUGCUGGCUUAUGUCAGC